AAGUCGUAACAAGGUUUCCGUAGGUGAACCUGCGGAAGGAUCAUUCAUAAUAAGUGUUGUGUGUGACGUGUUGUGUGCGCAAUGCCACUGUUGCCAAGGUGGCAGUGGCGUCUGCGCAUGCGCAUUUUUUCACUCCAUUUCAUCGCAUUUAUUCUAAUUACUGCUGCUCGCAUGAGCACAAACAACCGAAAACUGCCAGCAAUGGAUCACUCGGUUCUC
rnacentral:misc_RNA from 1 species